UACAGAGGGUGCAAGCGUUGUUCGGAAUUAUUGGGCGUAAAGGGCGCGUAGGCGGUGCGGUAAGUCUGUAGUGAAAUCUCUGGGCUCAACUCAGAGUCUGCUGCAGAAACUGCCGUGCUUGAGUGUGGGAGAGGUGAGUGGAAUUCCCGGCGUAGCGGUGAAAUGCGUAGAUAUCGGGAGGAACACCUGUGGCGAAAGCGGCUCACUGGACCACAACUGACGCUGAGGCGCGAAAGCUAGGGGAGCAAACAGG
rnacentral:rRNA from 1 species